AGAGAGUUGAGUUUCCAACGUCAAGCAACGACUACUCAUUCGCUUGCCAAUCGUCAGUGGGAUCUUUUGGAAAAAGAUGGAGUUCACCGUGAUUUAUUUACCUUUGAUAAUGACAUGAUGAAGCUUGAUAAAAAUGAGAGAGUGCUCUCGCGCGGUUUUCCAUCCUUUCACCAUGUUAAUGACAGUUCAAAGGUCAUAUCUUACGUCAGAGGUCCCCUUCUCUUCAAUUUCAAUUUUCAUCCAACAGAUUCUUAUGAUAGUUACACCGUUGGUGUAGAAGAAGCCGGGGAAUAUCAACUAAUUUUGAACACGGAUGAAAUAAAGUAUGUCGGUCAGGGGAUCAUUAAAGAGAACCAAUAUUUUCAAAGAACUAUAAGUAAAAG